rnacentral:tRNA from 1 species
UCCCUAGUGGCUCAGAAGGUAGAGCAUCUGACUGCAAUGCAGGAGACCUGGGUUCUAUCCCUGGGUCAGGAA